UACGUAGGGUGCGAGCGUUACUCGGAAUUACUGGGCGUAAAGCGUGCGCAGGCGGUUUUGUAAGCCAGAUGUGAAAUCCCCGGGCUUAACCUGGGAAUGGCAUUUGGGACUGCAAGGCUUGAGUGCGGCAGAGGAGACUGGAAUUCCUGGUGUAGCAGUGAAAUGCGUAGAUAUCAGGAGGAAUACCGAUGGCGAAGGCAGGUCUCUGGGCUGACACUGACGCUCAUGCACGAAAGCGUGGGGAGCAAACAGG
rnacentral:rRNA from 1 species